UCUCAAACAAGCAAAUUAUCUAUUACCCGCGAAACAUUUUCGAAUUUCGAAAAUAAAUCAGCCGUUAGGAAGAAACAGCAAUUAGCAUCGCGAGACGUCGUGAGAGAUGCUUCAAGGAUUACUUCUUCCCAACGACGAAAACGGACACUCCGUCAAAAAAUUUUAACACAUAUCUUGCGCAAAAAACUCUAAACAACGGUAUUCGCCGCCAAGUUCGGUGCUGAUCACAUCGAGCUCUUGAACGUCCCAAAAUUUUGGUCCAGCACUUCCAGUUGGCUUAAAAAUUGUCUCCGGAGAGAUACUCGAUUCGUAUCCAACAAGUCAUAUAAGCCGAGAACCUAUCUUGGACUUUAAAUCGGUACGAUCAGGUUAAAAUCGCGACAGAUAAUUCAA
rnacentral:lncRNA from 1 species